GCGACCCCAGGACGGGCGAGGCCACCCGCAGAGUUUAAGCAUAUCAAUAAGCGGAGGAGAAG
rnacentral:rRNA from 1 species